AAUUAAACAAAGUGAACUGAGAAGCCUUUCACUGGAGGCAUAAUGUACUCACAGUAGUUUUCAAAUAAAUGGUGUCACUCUUCAGGUAAAUCACUCCAAGGCUUGGGCCUAGUGCAGCUGUUCAUUGGGGCAGGGAAUACAGAGCGGCUGCAUCUGGAUCAGACAAGAGACAAACAAAAAUAAGGCUGUCAAAGGAGGAGACAAUGGAGAUCACUAGUUCUGA
rnacentral:lncRNA from 1 species